rnacentral:misc_RNA from 1 species
UUCUCUAUUAUUUUUAGGUUAUCUAACAUAGUCAAGUUGCAUACUAGGCGACUGAUGUAAAUUUGUUUUUGUUUCGUGUUAUUAUUCAAUUGUGCUUAAAAAUCUUUGACAUUUAGCCUAUUAUGGGUAUUUGUUUUUUCAAGUUUUUAGUAUAUUAAUUAUUGACUAUCAAUUAUUCACAAUGAUUUUAAAUUUGAAGGAGGAACACAAGGCACACUUGUCUUUACUUUUCAAGCAACCGGUGAAUGUUCUACAAGAUUUCUGCAAACUAGCCUUGGAAUAUCUGGUGAGGGGAUCAAAACCAAAACUGUAUUCCAGUGCGGCCCAGAAACUGGAAGUGGAACCUGAUGAUAUAGAAAAUGCAGUCGAAGGCAUCGUUUUCCUAUUAAUCGAAAGCUCAAAGAAUAAGUUGAAUGAGCUCGACUUCCGGGACACCCUGUUGACAGUUGGCUUUAGUGAGGAACAGCAAGCUGUUCUGAGUGAACUGUACAAAAGCAAAGAGAAAGAACUGAAUGAAGUGUUACCGUCCAGUUCUCUACACUUGCCACACUUCAAAAAUCUCGAAUGGAGAUUCGAGUGUCAAGUAUCUUCACGAUCAGUGGCCAAACAGCUGACUCCCAAGGUCACCUUAAACCUGACCUUGACUGGAGAUAAGGAGCCCUCCAACAUUCUUCUCCAGGCUGACCCUAAGAAUCUCCAGCACAUGACUGGUGUACUGGAGAAAGCUCUCAAGGAGGCUAGAUCACAGAACAGUCGUCGACUCCAGAGGCGGUUGAAAAUCAGCUGAAGUUUUUCUCAAACUGAAGUCUGAAUUGAAAUUUUGUUUUGAAAAAAUGAACUGCUGUGAUGAAAGUGAAGGUAUUGUUGAAUCAAUGUUCACGGGAAUUGAGUAGUGAUUCUCUAACUUACUAUAAGACUAGGGCCCGGUUGCACAAAAUCCGGUUACAUUUUAACCGUGAUCAAUUUCACGAGAACCAAUCAAAGAAGCCGUCUUUUCAAUAAAGCCUUCUCUGAUUGGUUCUCGUGGAAUUAAUCACGGUUAAAAUUCAUACAGCUUUUGUGUGCAACCGGCACUAGGUGUUGCUACCAAGGUGAAUGUAUUUGGAUUAAAGUUUACGAGAAAUAAUUAGUGAUUCUUCAACUUAUUAUAAGACCAGGUGUUGCUACUAAGGUGAAUGUAUUGUUGGAUCAAUGUUUUUGAAAAUGAAGUAGUGAGAACUUACUAUUAAACGAGGUAUCGUUUUCGAGGUAAAUGUAUUGUUGGAUCAAUGUUUUUGAAAAUGAAGUAGUGAGACCUUACUAUUAAACGAGGUAUUGUUUCCGAGGUAAAUGUAUUGUUGGAUCAAAGUUUUCGAGAAUGUAGUAACUUUUUAACUUAAGGUCAGCCAUCCACUUCACGGUUCACCGUAGAGGUUCACCUGAACAUGGAAGCCAGAAUAAACCAAUUUGAAUUUGAGAUUUGUAUAAUAGAGGAGUUCGAUGAAAGAAGGGCCCAUGUGCAAAACCAUGUUUUGAGAAAAACGCUGUGAAAUAUGAACCUAUUCACGCUCAAAUGCUUGACACUGUUUUCUUAAAAUCGUCGUCGCUUCGUUCAGAAAAAGCAUAGAGGUAUGAAAAUUUCUAGACAUUUGUAGAGAAAUCCAUUAAACACUUUGACGGAAAAAGGGCCUGAAGUUCUUAGUGCCCUUCUUCUAUCAAACUCCUCUAUACAGUACCCAAUUUAUGUGUAUUUUAUAUAUGUUUAUAUUUGUGGUAGUCGUUUCCAUGGUGAUUGUUCAGGCAUAGAUAGAUACCGGACAAUUAUUGCUAUCCACAUUUUUUCGGUGCUCUGUAAUUAUUUAAAUUUUGGAGGAAUUAUAUUGGAGAAAUAAUAAUCAUGUUGAUUGUAAAUAAAAAGAUAAAUCUCAGUAUCCUUUUAAAUUAUGUUUUGACAAAAUAAUUUAAAAGGGUACUGAGAUUUAUAUUUGUAUUCAUAUUAAAAUUAGCCCUAAAGAAAAAAGACAUGUUGAUUGUGUAUGGAUUAGAAUUGAAUUGAAUUGAAUCGCUGCCUUUAUUAAAAACCUAGGAGGGCGAAGUUAGGGCGCAGCCGGCCCUCUCUUACACUUAACCCUCAUUAGAAUGUAGUUGGGAAAUAGUAUUGAAUUUUUGGUUUAUUUCUUUGUUAUAUAAUUUUAAUUAUUUAUCAAUUCUUAAUAACUAUUCAUAAUUAGUAAUGAAUAUUAUUCACUAAUAGUUAUUAAUAUUAUUCUUGUUUAUGUAAAUUGAUAAUGGUUUAGAAAGUAGUUGAAUAUUGUAGUAAUGUUGCUUUUUUCAUCAAUGCUUAUUUACUCACGCUUAUAUACUGCAAUAAUAAGUACAUUCAAUGUUUCUGUUAUACAAUUUUGUACUAUUAUUUUCAUGUAAUAUUAGUUUAAGUAAGUGUACUAUUAUUUUCAUCUAAUAUCCAUUAUCAAUCGUAUUUUAAAGUGGUUAUAAAGGGUUGAUGUUGUUGAAUUGUAUUCAGGUUGAAUGCUAGAGUGUUUUGUAUGAAUGUGUUCAUUAUAUUUUUAUUCACUUUA